UACAGAGGUCUCAAGCGUUGUUCGGAUUCAUUGGGCGUAAAGGGUGCGUAGGCGGCGCGGUAAGUCGGGUGUGAAAUUUCGAGACUUAACUUCGAAACUGCAUUCGAUACUGCCGUGCUAGAGGACUGGAGAGGAGACUGGAAUUUACGGUGUAGCGGUGAAAUGCGUAGAUAUCGUAAGGAAGACCAGUGGCGAAGGCGGGUCUCUGGACAGUUCCUGACGCUGAGGCACGAAGGCCAGGGGAGCAAACGGG
rnacentral:rRNA from 1 species